CCUACGGGUCGCAGCAGUGGGGAAUAUUGGACAAUGGGCGAAAGCCUGAUCCAGCCAUGCCGCGUGUGUGAAGAAGGCCUUCGGGUUGUAAAGCACUUUCAGUGGGGAAGAAAGCCUUGGGGCUAAUACCCUCGAGGAAGGACAUCACCCACAGAAGAAGCACCGGCUAACUCCGUGCCAGCAGCCGCGGUAAUACGGAGGGUGCGAGCGUUAAUCGGAAUUACUGGGCGUAAAGCGCGCGUAGGCGGUCUGAUAAGCCGGUUGUGAAAGCCCCGGGCUCAACCUGGGAACGGCAUCCGGAACUGUCAGGCUAGAGUGCAGGAGAGGAAGGUAGAAUUCCCGGUGUAGCAGUGAAAUGCGUAGAGAUCGGGAGGAAUACCAGUGGCGAAGGCGGCCUUCUGGACUGACACUGACGCUGAGGUGCGAAAGCGUGGGUAGCAAACAGGAUUAGAUACCCCGGUAGUC
rnacentral:rRNA from 1 species